rnacentral:sRNA from 1 species
ACACCGAAAGGAGGUGAUCCGGAAGAUGCAUUCAGUCCGGACAAGUGAGGUGGCUGCGGGCUAACGGCUCGCUGUCGCACUCUCGUAGUGCUCGGCCGGUCGACGGCCGAAAUCCCAAGCAGUCACCCGAUCCGCGGGCCGCCGGUAAGUCCGGCCGGCUCCCUCCACGGAGGGACCAUGGCCCGCGGAUCGUCUGCG